rnacentral:tRNA from 1 species
GCCGCCGUAGCUCAGACUGGUAGAGCGCCGGCCUCGUAAGGCAAAUUGGUAAGGACCCGGUACAGCCGGUGGUCCGGGGUUCAAGUCCCCGCGGCGGCU